UUUUUGAACAUGGUAGUUUAUUUUAUGCAGUUGUUUGAAUCAAUUGUUUAAAAAUUCUCAAAAGGCACUUUAAAAAACAUUUAAAAAUACAUUUUUUCUGACUUAAUGGUGAUCACUUAAAAUAAGCAAGUCACCAGACAUUUUUAAACCCUUCAUUGACACUACUACUUUAAAUAAUUUUUAAAUUCCCAAACACAAACAUUUACUGUAUAAUACAACACACUGCUUAGCAGUAAGAUUAGUUUCCCUCUAAUAAUACACUUCAUGUAGAUCAUUAAUUUAUAGAGCCCUGCAAAGUUACUCAAACUUAAUUAAUGUAACUGAAAACUUUAAUGUAACUGAAAACUCAAAGGAGGUAAGGGAGUCGAAAUGAAGUACAUUCAACUCUGAUGCUGAUUUUACAGUUGCUUCUCUAAAGAGAAUCUGUACAAAGUUCUCACUUCCAUUGGUGUUAAAAUGUCAAUACAGCUGAUAUAGAACUGUAAAUCAUUUUUAAUCAAGAGGUUACAUUAGUGUAAAAUAUACCACAGCUUGUCUCCCAUAUUUCUCAUGAUGUUUCUUUAAGUCCUAAUACAAAACAAUAGAAACGAAGGCAAUGUGUUUGCCUUUUGCUUUUAAGAGGGGGGGUAAAUAACUUUGCUUUCUUAAUUAUAGAUGUAGAAUUGUUUUAGGUUGUACAAGUUCAAUUAGGGCAAAUAGCCUGAGAGUCAGCAGACUAUUGUUGGACUUUUAGUCUCAUGGGAAACCUGUGCUAGGUAUAAAACUAUCUUAAAGGAUAAACAUUCUGAUCACCCAAAUCAACUACUCCAAGUAACUAGAAGUUAAGCAUGAAGGAACUAUCAAAAACAGAAUGAAACUGAAAGUGCAAGAACAAAGCUAGCAUAUUAUUAAUAGAUAACAUAAGACUUUACUAAAAGUCUUAUGUCUUCUUGAAACCACACUACAAUCAAUUAUUCAUGUGACAGAGAUCUUUAUCUAAAAGAUAGUGAAUUAAUCAUUUCACCAUAAAAUCUUGUUUUAUGUGCUCUAUCAAAUAUUUGGGAGAAUUUUUUUUUUUUUGCUUCAUUAGAUCACAGGAUAGGUACAUAGGUUUUGAAAGUGACAAAACUUACUUAUACUGACAAUAUAAAUUAGCAGAAAAUACUUGGCAUAUUAUAAAGUAGCAUUUUUCUAUUUCUAUUGGAAAUUUCAGUAACUAGUGGACAUUUUUUUCAUGAUAUUCAUUUACAUAUGUUUUAAUGAAUUCAUAUGUACAUAUUAGUACUCACUGAACCCUUUCUACUCAGUGUGAAAUGACUAAACUUGUAGAAUUAUAGAUUUUUUUUAAGGUCCUGGUAAUAACAAUUAGAGUGAAGGGAAGAAUUUUGCCAAAACCAAUGAUGCAUGGACCCAUUAAACUUUAUAAGAUUUUUUUAAUAUAGUAUGAUCCUGGACUACACUGAUUUAACACAUAUUUCAGAGUCUUUGAAAAAUGCCUCUCUCCUGGGCAGAAAUCCUGAGUGUGUUCCAAAGACUAUUUGCACCAAAAUCGUGUAGGUAAACAGGCAAUGGUUCUCAACAUAGGAUUAGUAAAAUAAACCUUCAGAGCUUUUUCAAACCAAACUGACUUAGGUCUGAGCUGGGGUGAAGAGAAGAACAAGCUCCAACAAGCUCUCGGCAGUGCUACUUUAAUAAUUCUCACUAGAAGUCAUCUGGUAAGAAUGCAUACUCUAGGGCCCCAUGCUAAAAAUCAAACCUUGAGAUGUUCAUCUCGACAAACUUAUAGCUAGAGUACGAGAAUCACAAUUUAACAAUCAGCAUGCCCAUUUAGCUGUCUGACCAAUGUUUACUAUUGCUGGCCAAAAGUUCCAGAAGUUACGUACUAUUCAUACGUGUAUGUGUGUGUAAUUAUUCCACAUACUCAUGUGACUAACCCUAAGGCUAACAUAAUACAAACAACACACAGGUUUUGAUUACAGAUCCC
rnacentral:lncRNA from 1 species